UCAGUUUAGGGAUCAGCUGAAGGAGGGGUCUAUUUACACCACUGAAAAAUUUGAUUUGUAUGAUCCUAGAAAGAGCUACAGGUCAGUGGAUCAUCCUUUGCGGAUCUUCUUUACUAUGAGGGUGGUGUCGCCGCCGGAGAAUUUUUGCUAUGUAUACCUAUACUAUUGUCCCGUUUAGCAUGCUGUCGGAUUGCAUUGAUCAGAAUAACUUAAAUCCAAUUUACAGAUGUUGUCGGAUGGCUUAACAAAGUCACCGAUGUUUUUGCCUCCUUCUGGUAAUACAAAGAGCCAAAAGCGACAAAUUUAUAUCACGGAUGGAAGCGAGCAUGCUAUUGUUACUUUGUCGGGAGAGAUGCUGAUGGACUAAUGGAGGCAUCAAAUCAAGAACCUGCUAUCGUGUUAAUUGUUGGCAUGACUGUCGGUCGAAGCAUCUGCCAAGGCACGUCGAAUUACACACUGGAAACCAAAGUCAUACAGAGCCGACCGUGUCAAUGAUCGCGGAAAUAGCGACAUUAGGACCCAAUUGCAUCAUGGUAUGUUUGGUGUUUUAUAGUAUGUUUUCUUCCCUGCAUUCUCAGAAUAAAUCAAUUGAUAAUCGUGUUAAGGGUGAACGGUACAAGAUGUACAUUUGAAUUACUGAGGUUCUUACAGACAAAGGCUGGUAUUACAUAAGUUGCAAAGAAUGUUAGAAAAAACUUAAGCUAGAUGAUAGGGUAUACAAAUGCCCUCAGUGUCAUGCUGUUAUACCUCUUCCAAGGUACACACGUAUUUGUCAUAUCUUCUGUUCUUCAGGAUGUUUAUUCUUCAGCUUCUUUUUUUGUGGCAAAUGCUUACGUCAUUUUUUUUCCUUUUGUUAUUGCU